UCCUGCUGCAGCCUUUCCUGUAGAUCUGUUGAUAGAGAUCUCACCCGUGCCUCAAACGACCUUAGAUCAACUCCAGAUCUGAGAGAAACUUGUAUCUACCUCUUCUCAAGAGAUUUCAGGUCCUGGACCUGAUGCUUGGGUGGCUGCAAGAGAGGGAGAGAAGAAAAUGGCUGGCGGCUGCAAGGGGGAAGGGGCUAGC
rnacentral:lncRNA from 1 species